rnacentral:sRNA from 1 species
CACUUUGUCAGCGAGCGUAAAUAUGACGAGGAGCUCGGGAAAGCUGCCCGGUUUUCCUGUGACAUCGAACAGCUGAAGGCCCAAAUCAUGCUCUGCGGAGAAAUUACACAUCCAAAGAACAACUAUUCCUCAAGAACUCCCUGCAGCUCCCUGCUGCCUCUGCUGAAUGCGCACGCAGCAACCUCUGGGAAACAGAGUAACUUUUCCCGAAAAUCAUCCACUCACAAUAAGCCCUCUGAAGGCAAAGCGGCAAACCCCAAAAUGAACGGAUCUUCUAACCAAAGACGGAGAUUUAAUCCACAGUAUCAUAACAACAGGCUAAAUGGGCCUGCCAAGUCGCAGGGCAGUGGGAAUGAAGCCGAGCCACUGGGAAAGGGCAACAGCCGCCACGAACACAGAAGACAGCCGCACAACGGCUUCCGGCCCAAAAACAAAGGCGGUGCCAAAAAUCAAGAGGCUUCCUUGGGGAUGAAGACCCCCGAGGCCCCGGCCCAUUCUGAAAAGCCCCGGCGAAGGCAGCACGCUGCAGACACCUCGGAGGCCAGGCCCUUCCGGGGUAGUGUCGGUAGGGUUUCACAGUGCAAUCUCUGCCCCACGAGAAUAGAAGUUUCCACAGAUGCAGCAGUUCUCUCAGUCCCGGCUGUGACGUUGGUGGCCUGAGCUAGGAGGAAAAAGAGCAGUUUUCACUCAGUUUUGGUUCCCUGCCCGAGGUGCUGACCCAAUUCGCUGCCAAAAGAGUGUCAAUCAGAAUAUACAAAUCCCGUAUGGUUGUGUC